rnacentral:rRNA from 1 species
AUGGAUGAUGCCGCGGUGCACGUUCUCGUGUUCCCUUGGCCACGACAGGGACAGAUCAACCCCGUGCUCCAUUUCGCCAGCACCCUCGUCGACGCCGGAGUCCAGGUCAGCUUCCUCCACACCGAGCGGAACCUCCGUCGUCUUGCUCAGGCGCCUCCGCCGGGCCUCCGCUUGCUUUCCAUCCCCGACGGCCAACCCGACGGUCACCCUCCCGGCUUCUUGGAGCUCCUGGAGGCCAUGUCCACGACCGGCAGCGCGGCGUACCGGACCCUGCUCUCUGCUGCCGAUGCGCCGGUGACAUGCGUUGUCGCCGAUAGCACUAUUCCGUUCGCCUUCGACAUCGCCGACGAGCUCGGCAUCCCAUCGCUCGCCUUCGUCACGCACAGCACGUGCAGCUACCUGGCGAUCCUGUCUAUGCCCAAGCUCGUCCAGCUCGGCGAGACCGCCUUCCCUGCAGACGACCUGGUGCAUGGCGUUCCGGGGAUGGAGGGCUUCCUCCGGCGACGAGAUCUCCCACGUGGACUCUGCUGCGCUGAAAGAGGCGGCGAAGACCCCUUGGUGCUCAAGAUCGCUGAGGUCACCGCUCGUACCAGCAAGGCACGUGCACUCAUAGUCAACACCGCAGCGUCCAUGGAGCGGUCAGCUCUCGCCCACAUCGCGUCGUGCACCGCCGACGUCUUCGCCGUAGGCCCACUUCACGCGAGGUCCAGGUUCGCCGCAAGCGCGAGCCUGUGGCGGGAGGACGAGGGGUGCAUGGCGUGGCUGGACGGCCACGACGACCGGUCCGUCGUGUACGUGAACCUGGGGAGCCUCGCCAUGGCCAGCUCCGCGCUCCUCCAAGAAGCCGUCGGGGCAGCCGAGGGCGACAUAGGGCGCGUCGUCGAGUGGGCUCCUCAGCGCGACGUGUUGCGGCACCGGGCGGUGGGCUGCUUCCUGGCACACGCAGGAUGGAACUCGACGCUGGAGUGCGCCGUCGAAGGCGUGCCGAUGGUGUGCUGGCCCUUCUUCCUCGACCAGACCAACAACCGCUUCGUGGAUGCCGUGUGGAGGACGGAGCUGGACAUGAAGGACAUCUGCGACAGAGGUGUCGUGGAGAGGACAGUGAGGGAGGUCAUGGUGUCCGACGAGAUCUGGGGGUGGCCCAAGCCAUGGCGCAACAGUUGA